rnacentral:tRNA from 1 species
GGCGCUAUGGCCAAGAGGUAAGGCAGGGGCUUGCAAAGUCUCGAUCCCCGUGUUCGAGUCCGGGUGGCGCCUCCA